UACGGAGGGUGCAAGCGUUAUCCGGAUUCACUGGGUUUAAAGGGUGCGUAGGUGGGGUGGUAAGUCAGUGGUGAAAUCUCCGAGCUUAACUUGGAAACUGCCAUUGAUACUAUCAUUCUUGAAUAUUGUGGAGGUCAGCGGAAUAUGUCAUGUAGCGGUGAAAUGCUUAGAUAUGACAUAGAACACCAAUUGCGAAGGCAGCUGGCUACACAUAUAUUGACACUGAGGCACGAAAGCGUGGGGAUCAAACAGG
rnacentral:rRNA from 1 species